GUACAGUAAACCAUUAGAGCGGGCACGGCCCGAGAUAAGAAACAACGCGGGCUGCGAGUACAGCAAAGCAUUAGAGCGGGCACGGCCCGAGGUAAACAACGCGGACAGCGAGUCAUUAAAGCAUUAGAGCGGGCACGGCCCGAGACAAUAAGCAGCACGGAAGCGAGUACAGAAAAGCAAUUGAACGGGUACGGUCCGAGAUAAGAAGCAGCGCAAUAGGCACUUGCGACGAGCAAAACAGCUGCAUAACAAUGCUUUAUAACAAAAAACGUAUUACAACCAAUUAUGAAAUUUACAAAAUAGCGCCACUUCGACAAAAUAACUUAAAACA